AUUGAACGCUGGCGGCAGGCCUAACACAUGCAAGUCGAACGAGUGGCGGACGGGUGAGUAAUGUCUGGGAAACUGCCUGAUGGAGGGGGAUAACUCCUGGAAACGGUCUCUAAUACCGCAUACCAUCAGAUGUGCCCAGAUGGGAUUGUCUGGUUGGUGGGGUAACGGCUCACCAAGGCGACGCUCCCUAGCUGGUCUGAGAGGAUGACCAGCCAGAAUGGAACUGAGACACGGUCCAGACUCCUACGGGAGGGAGCAGUGGGGAAUAUUGCACAAUGGGCGCAAGCCGGAUGCAGCCAUGCCGCGUGUAUGAAGAAGGACUUCGGGUUGUAAAGUACUUUCAGCGGGGAGGCGUUACCCGCAGAAGAAGCACCGGCUAACUCCGUGCCAGCAGCCGCGGUAAUAC
rnacentral:rRNA from 1 species